GCAGGUGUUGACUUGUGUUUGUUUGUUCCUCUUAUUGCUUGCUGCUGGGAGCCUCGUGAUCGUUGUGAUCGGAGCUGCGGAUGAUUCUGCCCUCCAGAGGCUGCGUAAGCUACCUUUUCUUCCUGGAUUUCUGAUUGACCUUUUACCCCUCAUGCUGAUGUCCAACUGAGGGAAAAGAUGGCUAUCGACUGACUGAGCUGUGUGGUCCAUUUCCAGCCAGAGUGGACUGUUAUCUUCAAAGAGACCGUCUGUCUCCUUACCUCUAACCUCUCUAUGUCCGUGCUAUCGUUUAUUUGCACUUUAAUGUGUUCGCCUUAACUAAUGAAACCUUUGGAAGAACUGCAGCUGGGAUUUUUCUCAGUAAACAGACAUUUGUAUGAGUUCUUUGUAAAGUGGAAACAUUAACAUUUCUCUACUACAUGUGAAGGCUUGAGGUUCUAAAGCUUUAAGCUUGAAGAGUGAGUUUAAUGUAUGCAACUUUAGAAUCUUCAGUGAAAUUCAGGAUGAAAAAAGGCAACAUUUUGCAGUGCAGAGGUUCAGAAGAGGAUGGCUUUAGUUGCAGAACAUUAAACAAAUACCUCUUAUGUUAUGGAUCUUUGCCUUCUUUGUGCAAAGUCGUUUGAACUGGGGCUGUGGCUUUAUUGCAUAUAUGUUUGUGUGUGUAUUUCACACCAGCCUGCAGAGCCAGGUGGGCCCUGUGAGUCCCACACUUCAGAGGCCAAACGUUCAGAGGUCAGAUACUUUCCUUGAAUAUCUCCACGAAGCCAAACAUCGACUGAGGAGCUGAGAUAAAGGCACCAUCUGAUCCUCAAUGCCACUUGGCGCCUGUGCUCUGGGGGAGAUGAAAGCAGCACUGCUUGUUGAAAAUGACUUUCUUGUUGCUACUUCAAUUUUUAAUUUCCUUAAUUGAUUUUCCAUUCCCACAGAGGUAAGUAGGUUUGUAGAAACAAACAAAUUGAUUUCAAAUUUUAAUUCCUUUUACCGCUGAGCAAUGGUGAGACCUCCCUACCAUAGAUCUCCAAUCCAUUCAAACUCAAUUAAUGUGUUAGAGACGGAUGGCAGGAGAAGGGAGAAGAGCCCUGUCUUCUUUAGUUUUAUUUUCUUUGACUUUCUUCUUUGCUAUCAUGCACAGAUGAUGCUCCUUCCUCUCCUGCUUUUGGUGACGCUCCAAUUAUUUAGCUCUAAUGGAUGAAGCUUCGUGCAGACACUUUUUGAGGAAUGAUGUUACUUUGGAUAAUCCACUUGGCAGGUCUAUGUGUUUUUAAUAAAAUUAGCUUACUAAUUUUCAUUGUAA